ACAAGACUAAGGAAGUAAAGAGUAACAACGUUUGGAAUGCCGGAAAACUAAGAAGACAAGGAUUCCCUCACAACGUAGCUUUUUAAAGUCUGGUCGCUGAUUGAGCUUUCAUCAAAUAAGAGGCCUGAAGAGAGUUAAGAGUUAGAUGUUUCAGGGCUUCUCAGGAGAAAGAAAAGGAGGACGAAGAGAAAGCUGUGGACGGCAGUUACAAAGAUGCUCAAGGCGGUGAGCAAAAGAUGAUUCCAUUUAUACAAAAACCCGCUCUGUGAAGCAAGUUGGAUGGAGAGAUGCAACAUAACCCACAGCCACCCAAGGAUCGUUGCGGUGGAGCACAGCAGGAAUUUGAACCUGGGUUCAAUGUGAAUAUUUAGGUGGAUUUGAAAACAUUCCUGUUCACCCAGGCAUUUGAUGGCUGAAAGAUCUUGUUACUGGCAACCUUGAAAUUAUUUAGUGGUGAGGAUAUUUGAUCGUUCCUAAAAGUUUUUACAAUCUUUGUAUUGUUUUUCUUGUUUGCUGCCCUAUCUCUUUAUCUGCUUAUUUUUCUGUCCACUAUGACAUGUUGUCCUCUACAGAUCUGACCACCAUCAUCCCCCCUUGUUUGCGAAUCACCAAGGCUAAGAAACCAGUCCUGUUGAGGUCAACAGAUUUCCUUAUUAUCAAAAAGGAACAUAAAGAAGAAAUAUUAGAGUAAAUGAUGCUCUGGAUCCUGACAAGCUUGACAAUGCCUGUCUUUUGACAUUUUAUUUUUAUAGGUCUCUUAAUGGUCCCAUUGGACUCUUAAUGCUCUUUGCUUCUUUAUAUAUAUAUUACGGCAACACACACACACACAUUUGAUUAAUAUUUUAUGGCUACCUGGGUUGCCAGCAGCUCUCAUAAAUUUCAUGGAGGGCUAUUUCUGAGGGAUAUUAAUGUGAGAAUUCCCUGUUGUUGAGGAACAGUAUCAAUCACUUAAGCAUCAAUACCUACAUGCCAAAAGAUGUAUCGCUACAGCUUCUUUAAAGAGUCCUUUACAACUCACAUCUUCCAAGUGCCACUUAGGCUGUUGAUGAAUGAUCUUUGAGGUGAUCUUUCUCCUUGACCAGCAUGGGUUAAUAUCCAUAUGAACAUUUCUGCAUCGACAUCCUGGAAGAGACCACCAAGCUGAAUGCAGCUCCCCAGUUAUGCAUAGGGUGAGGUCUGCCAGAUGUUUGACAUACCCCACCUGCAGUAGCUGACAAGCUUGUUGGGGUGGAGGUGCUUCUCUGACCUCCUGGCAAUUCUGCUAUGUUUGUUGUUGUUGCUGUUGUUAUUGUUGCUGAGUCAUGUAGUCG